rnacentral:rRNA from 1 species
UGGGGAAUUUUGGACAAUGGGGGAAACCCUGAUCCAGCCAUCCCGCGUGUGCGAUGAAGGCCUUCGGGUUGUAAAGCACUUUUGGCAGGAAAGAAACGUCAUGGGUUAAUACCCCGUGAAACUGACGGUACAUGCAGAAUAAGCACCGGCUAACUACGUGCCAGCAGCCGCGGUAAUACGUAGGGUGCAAGCGUUAAUCGGAAUUACUGGGCGUAAAGCGUGCGCAGGCGGUUCGGAAAGAAAGAUGUGAAAUCCCAGAGCUCAACUUUGGAACUGCAUUUUUAACUACCGGGCUAGGGUGUGUCAGAGGGAGGUGGAAUUCCGCGUGUAGCAGUGAAAUGCGUAGAUAUGCGGAGGAACACCGAUGGCGAAGGCAGCCUCCUGGGAUAACACUGACGCUCAUGCACGAAAGCGUGGGGAGCAAACAGG